rnacentral:rRNA from 1 species
UACGUAGGGUGCAAGCGUUGUCCGGAUUUAUUGGGCGUAAAGAGCGUGUAGGCGGCUUGGUAGGUCCGCUGUGAAAACUCGAGGCUCAACCUCGAGAUGUCGGCGGAAACCACUUGGCUAGAGUCCGGAAGAGGAGAGUGGAAUUCCCGGUGUAGCGGUGAAAUGCGCAGAUAUCGGGAAGAACACCUAUGGCGAAGGCAGCUCGCUGGGACGUCACUGACGCUGAGACGCGAAAGCGUGGGGAGCAAACAGG